GAUUUUUAAAUGCAUUUUUUAAAAAGAUCCUGUUUAAAGGUCACUUAUGAAUGCCUAAGGACAAUAGACUACCUCCAAGCAAAAAUUUCCUUUUUGGGGGUAGGAUAUACUUGUUUUCCCAGCCACCUCUGAACACAGCAUAAGAAGUGGAAUCAUAAGACAGUCCCCUCAGAAACCCCAAGGACAGAGGAAUGGAUAAAGCAGAUGUCCCCAAGGACAGAACAAUGGAUAAUGAUUUAUGGUUGGAAUAUUACUCAGCCAUAAAAAAGAAUGAAAUAAUGCC